CUCGUCGGCCGCAUCACCAGCUGCGGCCGCGCCCGCGCCGGUCACAACGACGCCGCUGGUGCGACAGAGCCCAACUCGGCGCCAUCUCAGCAUAUCGAGAUCAGGUCAAGGGGAGGUGCUCCGACGGUGUCAGGAGGGUCCAAGACUCACACCAAUGAUGAUUGCAUAUAGAGGAGAAGAGACCCAUGGAUGAUGGAUCUCUGCAGCUCUGUCACCUGUCUGAAGCUUUCUCCUUCUUAAUUCCCAGCGUUGCACGUCUUGCUUGUGUUGCUUCUCUUUUCAUUAUAAUUUUCGGUCUUUGUAGCAUCUGUGUUGUUGGCUCUGUUUCAGGUUCAAGCCAUGCCGUUUCGUGAUAAUACGGUACUGUAAGUGCUUCAUGUUAAUGGUGUGUUUUUCUGCAUAGCAUGGUGCGUUGUGAUAUGUAUGUAUGGAUAGACUGUGAUGCAGCAAGAUGUCAACUCUUUGGCUACAAAACUUGUUGCAAGUACUUGAUCUCUGUUUGUAAAACUUCUGCACAAACGGAAGAAGAACCACCGGCAACCAUUGUGAUUUGUGCAGCAUCUAAUUUUACAGCAUAGUCUUUUCUUUUUCUUUUUUUCUAAUACAUGAGGCAAACAUUGCUUGGACAUGUUUAGUUUGCCUGGAUGGUUGAGAUGACAUACUUGAAAGGCAGAUAUGCCUUUGGUACACAUGUUCUGUAUAUUUACAGUGAG